CAGCCGCCACGGUAAUACGAAGGGGGCUAGCGUUGCUCGGAAUUACUGGGCGUAAAGGGAGCGUAGGCGGAUCGUUAAGUUGGGGGUGAAAGCCCGGGGCUCAACCUCGGAACUGCCUUCAAUACUGGCGAUCUUGAGUAUGAGAGAGGUGUGUGGAAUUCCGAGUGUAGAGGUGAAAUUCGUAGAUAUUCGGAAGAACACCAGUGGCGAAGGCGACACACUGGCUCAUUACUGACGCUGAGGCUCGAAAGCGUGGGGAGCAAACAGGAUUAGAUACCCCUGUAGUCCCUGUCUCUUAUAC
rnacentral:rRNA from 1 species